AUUGAACGCUGGCGGCAGGCCUAACACAUGCAAGUCGAACGAGCGGCGGACGGGUGAGUAAUGUAUGGGAACUGCCCGAUGGAGGGGGAUAACUACUGGAAACGGUAGCUAAUACCGCAUACCAUCGGAUGACCCAUAGGGGAUUAGCUUGUAGGUUAGGUAAGGGCGCACCUAGGCGACGAUCCCUCGCUGGUCUGAGAGGAUGAUCAGCAACAUUGGAACUGGGCAACGGCCCAGACUCCGAGGGUGGCAGAAGUGGGGAAGUUUGGACAAUGGGGGAAAGCAUGAUGAGGAAAGGCCGCGUGUAGGAAGAGGUUCUUAGGGUUGAAAAGUCUUUUCAGUCGGGAGGCGUUACCGACAGAGGAAGCACCGGCUAACUACGUGCCAGCAGCCGCGGUAAUAC
rnacentral:rRNA from 1 species